rfam:Pristionchus pacificus strain PS312 contig10950, whole genome shotgun sequence.
UCUUCAUUUGACGUGCUCUCUCAUCGGUCAGAGUGACGAGAGAGUGUGCGAAAUGAAGAGA